CCCCAGUGCUGGGCAACGGCGCUGGAGUCUGCCCCCUAGCGCCCCGGCGCUGGAAAAAGCACUAGAAGUAGCGCCCCGGCGCUGGCCCAAAAACAUGACAUUUUCUGCUCCGACGUCCUUUGGGAAAAUGGCCAUAACUUCUUCGUCCGAACUCCGAUUUCGAUGAUUCAAGAUGUUCCGGAAAGAGGAGAAGUAGAUCUACAACUUUCAUUCUUUGAGGUCUUCGAAAUAAUGUCAGGAGAUAUAGUCAAAUUGGCUCUGAAGUGACUGCUGUGUAAAUGGCAAGCCGAAAACGCGAAUCUAGCCACCCCAAACGUCGAUCCAUGUAACUUUUGUCCCAAUUCCUAUAAAAUAACAUAAAACAUGCAUGAAUAAACACAAACACAUAAAAACAUCCUAAAAGACUUAAGAACAACAAUAAAUUAAGCCCGAAUGUAUCCAAUUCAUGGGUAUAAAACUCACUCAUCAAAUACCCCCAAACUUAAAUCUUUGCUUGUCCUCAAGCAAAAACACAAAAAUN
rnacentral:lncRNA from 1 species